CGGAAGUUAGCUUGCCGCUGACUUCCGGGGGACUAUUGACUCGAGAGGCUCCACGAUCUGUGGCUGGCAGCGCAGUAGAGUUGCAGCGUUCGUGAUGGACUUUUAAAGCACACGAACCAGAGGGGGAUUCAAUAGAGCCUGAAUACCUGCACUGAGACCCUCACCCUGCACCCUGAGUUUCAACUCUCAAGAGUUCUUCAAGCCUUUCCCUGUUAUUUGUAUUAAACCAAACAUUAAGCUUC